GACGAACGCUGGCGGUGUGCUUAACACAUGCAAGUCGAACGAAGUGGCGAACGGGUGAGUAACGCGUAAUCCACCUGCCCUUCAGAGGGGGACAACAGUUGGAAACGACUGCUAAUACCACAUACUGAAGGAGGGGAUUGCGUCUGCUUAGCUAGUUGGGGGGGUAACGGCCCACCAAGGCGAGGAUCAGUAGACGGGCUGAGGGGAUGAACGGCCAAAAUUGGACUGAGACACGGCCCAGACUUCUACGGGAGGCAGCAGUGGGGAAACUUCCGCAAUGGAGGAAAGUCUGACGGAGGAACGCCGCGUUAGUGAUGACGGCCUUCGGGUUGUAAAGCUCUGUUAAUCGGGACGCGGUACCGGAAUAGAAAGCCACGGCUAACUACGUGCCAGCAGCCGCGGUAAUAC
rnacentral:rRNA from 1 species